UUAAAAUCUAAUUUUUAGUCUGUUUCGUGUUUGCUUCGUGUGUAGUUCGAGAUGACACCAGUUAAAUUAUAUAUUUCGCUGAUCGUCAUCGCAUAUGGAAGUUCUUCUUCCCUCGCAUCUGAAAAGCAAUUUUGUCAAAUAAGCCGAGAGAUGGAGGCCAAUUGUAGCAGAUAUACUUAUGAGGCUUUGAAGCCUUUACUUGUUUACGUGCGACAAAUUAGCGAGGAGAUCAACAAAAGUGAUGCAAAGGAUAAAGAAAUUAAAGAACUGCAAAACAAGUUGAUUCAAGAACAGGGAAACAUGCUGAUCAACAACGAAUUGAGAGCGCAAAUUGCUUUCCAACAGGCCACUAUAGAUAGAUUAAUCGAACGCAUAAAUGCGACAACGGGGGAGAAUUGUGAUAAUUGCAAAUCCGAAUUAGCUGAUAAUGCAGUCAAGUUCAAAGCGAAUGAGAAUCAAUUGAGGUUAGUGAAUGAAAAACUGGCAGAAAAUGCAGCGAAGCUCUAACAAUGCGAAUUGCAAACAGUUCCCAAUAGUUGUGUCGCGUUCGGAGAAAGUGCGGGUGCUCAUCAGAUUCAAAUUCCGGGACUAGAUGCAUUCGAUGUGCUGUGCGAUAGGGAGCUAGCCGGUCCUGGGUGGUUGGUUAUAGAGCAGCGUUUUAAUGGCAGAGAGAGUUUCAAUAGAGAUUGGGCCACAUUUCGCAAGGGAUUUGGUAGCUUCGCUGGUGAUUAUUUUCUCGGUCUUGAGAAAAUUCAUCGUUUGACAACUGAUCAAUUCAAUGAGUUAUACAUACACAUGGAACGAUUUGAUGGCAGCGUUGAUUAUGCUCGCUAUGAACACUUUGUUGUUGGCAAUGAGACGGACAAGUACCGAAUUAGCUUCUUGGGAGACUUUUCUGGCAAUGUUAGGGACAAUUUAAGGCCGCUUUUAAACAUGAAGUUCACAACGGAGGACUCUGAUAAUGACUUGUGGAUGGAAGGAAACUGUGCUAAUUAUCGACAGGCUGGUUGGUGGUACACAAAUUGUGUGGAAUCUUUUUUCCACGGCAAGUUCUACGAUCAUGAGACAAAAGAUUAUAGCUCAAUAUACUUUAAUUAUCCACGCACAAUAAAGAAGCUGAAAAUGAUGAUACGUCCAGCAUUUAAGAAGUGAACACUCAAGUAAACAACAAGUCAAAAAUAUUGCAAAUCUAAAAUCAAAAUCUUUUUGUAAUGUGAUCUUUACACUAAAAGCAAUAAAUAAAUCAAUAUAUAAUAUAAUCAUUAAAUUAA